CCUAGAUCGGAGCAGCCUGCAAACUGCAGAGCUCUUCUCUCCCCGCCUCGCAGCUGAUCGGUGGGUGGGCGGGGCUUCCAGAGAGGCCUCCUCCGAGUAGGCCUCCCUGAAGCCUGAACUCAAGUAGGCCCCAGCAAGCCAGGAAGGAGGCUGGCAGAGCUCCCGGCAGCAGACCCGACCAUCCAGCACAGCCCUUGCAGCAGCUGACAAGGUCACAGAAGCAGGUCUCUUUCAACCCUGCGAGCUGAAAUAAGGAAAGGGGUCAGGUACUCAACCUGGAAUUUUCUACAUGGAAAACAUAUGCUCUGCCACUGUGCUUGGGAACGUACAGAAGGAUUGUGGGGAUCCAACAGAGAAUAGGCAUCAGCAGUUAAUCGAUAUAAGAAAUCCCAUACUAAGAAGGUGUUUUUUGCAGGCGUGUUGGACCCAGGAAAGCAAUUCCUUUUUGCUAUCUUGAAUUCACAGCAAAGGUCAUUAAGAGUUGAAUAGGUGAGAGCACGAGUUCAUUGUGUAAUAGGGCCUAGUCACAGUGAAAAAGAGAGAGGUUGCUUUCCCUCCUCAGUGUUUUUUCUGGAGUUGUGGGGACUGAAUCUUCUUGUGUUUGAGUAGCACAAUUUGCGCGUUGCUGUUUUCCAGACGGCAGAUAGCUGUGGUUCCAGGAACUGUAAAACCAGCCGCCGGCAGACGGUCAGAUCAUUCACACCAUGUCCUUGGACACAAAACAGUCCAUUGCAAUAAAUUCGAAACUGUUUUGUGAAAAUGAAGUACUAACAAUAGUCUCUUGUUACAUCCCCUUUAAAAUGUUACCAUAAAUCAGUGAAGUUCUUGGUUUUGUUUUUUGUUUUUAAAAACCACCAUCAGGGAUUUGUAAAGCAGACGUAAAACAAGGAUCUUAAGGAUAGAGAAAGAAUGGUCAUGCUUCAUAUACAAAAUGAGGUUCUUCAUAGCACCUUGCAUUGGGAUUUUUCUCCUGGAUACCUUUUGCUUACAUUUCACUUUUAAUCAAGAUAGUCGAGUGUAACCUGAAAUAAGACCUUUCUCUCUUGCUAAACUUAAUGAUCCUUUUAAUAUCAGUACAGUUGGAUUUCUUCUAGCUAUCUCCUGUGUCCCUUCAGCCUUGGAGCAUUAAACAUGUGAUUAAAAAAGACUUUUUGGCAUGGUUCACAAAUUAACCAAAAGGCGCAGUGAAGCUGUAUAUUCACCCAGCAUGAAAUAAAAAAGCUAAUCAAAGCAGAUUAUAUUAGAUUAGUUUAACCAGGUAAACAAUUAGCUAAAUUAAUGUUAUCUGCAACAUAGUCUUUCAACAUGAACAGCUGAAAACAGAAUUUUCUUUGCUCCAACUUGUGAUUUUGCUAUUACACAUAUUAUUUGUUCCUUUUAAAAAACAAACAAACACCUUUUUAUAGACAUUUUCAACAUAAAGCAUUUUUGUAAUAAGAAUGUCAAUUGUUCUGAAACUUACUGCAUAUUUGGGGCUGACCUGGAUUUCAUUCAGGCAAGAUCUGUAGUCAGAACAAUUGAAGCAUUCAGAUGUUCCCUUCCUCAAUGAAAUUUAAAUACUGCUUUCAUGAGGGGAGAAAAAAACAUGUUGACCUUCAACAAUGAUUCUUCCCCCCAAUCUUUGUUCUCUGUAUUCAACUCCGAAUGUAAGUUUGCUUUCACCCCAUAAUAUAGAUUUUUGUAUUCAAUAACAAUGCUUCAUACUGCAGAAAUCUAUAGGAAAGCAUUGUUGCCCUCUUUCCCCCCUCCCCUCCCCCCAGUUCAUUCUGAGCAUUUUAUUUGUUUCAGAAGUUAUUUCCACAAACCUCUCUUUUGAAAGGAAGUUUCACACUAAUGGCAGACUUGUAGAGUACAUGUUUGAACCUGAAAACAUUCUGGAAGAUCAUAUGGGAACCUUGCAUUGCUAUUGUAGUCUUUCAAGCAAGCUUUGGGGGCUUAUUGUUCCUUUGCAUGCUACUCCUAAUCAUGUGGCGAGGUGCAUGGGCAAGGCAUGUUGGUUUUCUUAAAACAACAACAACAACAAAAAACCCCAAGACCCUGUCCAUGAUAUAGCACACAGACAAAGGAAGCUCAAGGGUGAAUGUGAAGUUGCUUACAAGAAAGAAGAUUUAAGCCAUGCAGAACAUCCAUCUGUGCUGUUAAGGAAUUAAGAAUGACAUUCAUUCAUUCAUUCAUUCAUUCAUUCAUUCUCUCUCUCUCUCUCUCUCAUGUUUAUAUACCACCUGAUAUGUGUAUCUCUUGGCAGUGUACACAGUUUAAAACAACACAUAUAAAAGAGAGUAAAAGCAAUUUUCACAGAAUCAAAAACUAAAACAAUUAACAGUUUAAAAUUAGUUUCAGUUAAAAGCCUGAGAAAACAGGUGUGUUUUGAGAGCCUUUCUAAAAGCAGUCAGAGAUGGAGAUGCUCUUAUUUUGACAGGAUGCAUAUUCCAAAGCCCCAAGGCAGCCACAGAGAGGCCUGGUCCCAAGUCGCCACCAAAUUUGCUGUUGGCAACCAUAACCGGACCUCCCCAGAUUAUCUUAAUAGGUAGCAGGGUUCAUGACAAUGGAGGAACUCUCUUAAGUAUCCGACCCAAGCCAUUGAGGGCUUUAUAAGUAAUAACCAGCACUUAUUUCACUCGGAAACAUAGCAGCAACCAGUGCAAUUCUUUUAAAAUCAGUGUUAUAUGUUCCCUUCGGGUUGUCCCAGAGACCAGUCCGGCUGCCGCAUUUUGUACCAAUUGUAGUUUCUGGACUAUGUACAAAGGCAGCCGCAUGUAGAAUGCAAGAUCUCUGAGCUAAAAGAGAGACUACAGCUAAUUCCCUCAUACUCAAAUCUUUUUUCCAAUGAGAAUAGAUAACAGCCAUGUGGACAAAACAUCAAAAGUUAAGUUCAUGCAAGCUGUUUUUGGAAGAUUUGUUACAGGGUUAUAUGUUGUAUUGCUACAAACAUGGAACAACUAGCAUAUGUCUAUAUCCUGGUUUCUUAAAAAGUACUAUUAUAGUAUGCAUGGAUGGUUUGAUGGAUAUGUUUCUUUUAGUAUUAGGUGUACGAGCUUGUAGACAAAGGAGAAGUGGGUAUUUCUGUAUGAAGUUGUGUCAAAUGUUAUAGACUGUAAAAAUAAAUGUGCCUUAUAUUUUUAUAUUGCUGUGCUAAGGGUUGGUAGUGGUAAUUUAUGUACACUAUCAGAAGCUGUUUUAUAUGUAUCAAAGAAAUAUUUUAUGUAUACUUACUCAUUUAGAUCAUUUAUCAUUAUCAUCUCUUGUAGAGAUGUUGGAAACCAUAUUAACCAGGGAUAACAUACCUGGUUUCAUAUGACAGGCACUAUUUUAAGAACCACAAUUGUUCUUCUAUAGUAGUUAGGCCACUGAAGAAGGCCCUUUGGAGGCGGACUUAUAUGGUUAUAUUGGAUAUGGAAGGAUACUUCUCUAAUUAUUCACUUUCUGGUGUUCAGAGACGUCUUACACUCCUACUACUUAGAAGCUUUUAAAGACCCAUGCAUACUUUUAAAUCAUAACUUCUCAGACCACUACAUCGUGAUGAGUUCUUCUUUGGACUAUAUGAAAUAGAUUUGGGCAUCAUCAGCAUAUUGAUUACACCCUGCACCAUACCUCCUGAUGCUCUCUCCAAGCAGUUUCAUGCAGAUGUUAAGGAGCAUUGGAGAUACCAGUAAGAACUUCCAGCAUCAUCAAAUUCGUAUAAGGAUCUACACAACGAGGAUUUUUAAAGUUUGAUUGAUCUUUACCAGUCUGAUUCUAAUUCAUCAUCUCUACCAGUCUAAUUCACCAUCUCUACCAGUCUGAUUCUAAUUCAUGUAAAACAAUAAUGUAAAGAAUUGAAACUUCAAAAAUUACAGAUGUAUACACCACUAAAUGCUAGUAGAAAUUAAUCAGCAUUCUCAAUGGGGGCUAGUCUGAAAAUUUGAAGCAGCUGUUUAUUUCAUUACCAGUAUCUGAAAGAUUCUUUUCCAUGCAGUUCUAAACACUUAUUCAUCAUUCAGAUGGAUGUUUAAAGGCAAAUACAUAUAGAAAGACAGUUUGGAAUUUACUAAAACUGAUUAAUAGCUCUGUGUAGCUCAUGGAUGGCUAAAGUUAUGAAUGCCUCUUGGGCAAAGUGAGAUUCAGUGGAGCAUAUCAUGUAAAAUGUGCAACUCUUUCUUUCACAUUACUUCUUGUAUUUAUUCUUUGGUGUUUUGAUUUAUCCUUUGUGGUUGCCAAUGUGAUUUCUAAUUAAAAUAGAAUGGCACAAAAAUAUUAAUUUAGCUACAUUAAAAUGGCAUCAGAGCAUCCUGUUUAUCUCCAUUAACACUGCUACUCCACAGUAUAAACACAUACAUUUCAGUUCUUUUUUCCUAUCAUAUGUUAAUGCAAAAAUCCAAUUACAUUUGCAGAGCACUGCCCUAUCUUUUCUUUUUUCUUUUUGUUUUUAGGGUAGAAGCAAUGAUGGAAGCUUGAUCUAUUGAUCUAUCUGUCAAUGACUUAAGGUCAUCUGAGGAGGUCCGUCUCCAGUUAACACUGGUUUGUCUGUUGGCAACUCAGAGUCAGGCCUUCUCCGUAGCUACUCCUGGGCUAUGGAAUGUACUCUCAGCAGAAAUCCACAAUUUGAGUUCAUUACUGUCUUUCAAGAGAGCCCUUAAAACCUAUCUGUUUGGCCUGGCCUUCCAGAGUUUUUAAACUGUUGUAAACAGUUUUAAAUGUUUGCCCUGGUUUUCCAGGGUUUUUAACUGUUUGAAUGUUUAAUUGGUUUUAUUCUGUUUUUAUAGUUUUGAUUUUAAUAGUUAACUGGUUCUAUUUUUAAAAAAAUUCUCUUGUAAACUGCCCUGAGGCAUUUUGGAAGGGUGGUAUAUAAAUUGAAUAAAUAAAUAAAUAAAUGACUGUCAAAUGAUGGCUAAAUUUUGUCAAAUAAUGGUAAAAGUUUAAAAGCAAUCUUUUUUUAUUCUUAGAAUAAUGCUUCUUAUUCUUAGAAUAACCACAAACAGAGAGUUAUGCUAAUGACUUUACUGAGCACUCUGCCAGGACACAAGGAGGUCCUUGUUCCAACAGCGAAUACAUUAGAUUUGGUAGUAAUCCUGACUAGGAGUGUGCAAGCCGGCUCGAUAUGAGCUGGGCUCAAUGGAUUCAGGGUUGAACCAGACCAGCCUCGGCCUAUCCGAGUUCUAACUGAACCAGGCUCGGUUCGAGCUGAGC